rnacentral:pre_miRNA from 1 species
AUGUUACUCCCUCCGUCCGAAAAUACUUGUCAUCAAAAUGGAUAAAAAGGGAUGUAUCUAGAACUAAAAUACAUCUAGAUACAUCUCCUUUUAUUCAUUUUGAUGACAAGUAUUUCCGGACAGAGGGAGUAUUUU